rnacentral:lncRNA from 1 species
GAAGUUAAUUCACUCUGUCCAGCUUUGGGUACUGCACUGGAGACUGAAGAAAGUGCAGGAAAUUACCAGAAUGCCACGAGCUCUAGAAAACGUGACUUGCAAGGAAAGUUUAAAGAAACUGGUGUGUUUAGUGGGAAAGAGGAGAAAAGGGUGGCCAUAAUAUACAAAGGCAGAAGAGUUAAGUUGCUAAGAGUAAUUGAGAGGGAUAUUAAAUGCUAGAGCAGUUUCCCUGCAGAAGCUGGACACUUACUCAGAGCUAAUUAAGGCAAACCUGUGUUGGCGAUGGCAAAAGCUGGCAUGAUGCUCCCUCAGCAGAACGUUCAUCAUCCCUGAAGCCUGCAUGUGUACCUGUCUAUCGCAAAGCUUGGGAAAGGAGCCGGCUCCAAGAUCCUUCCUGAUGAUCGGAGCACAGAUAUAGGACUCUUUCUCUGGUGGUGCUCCUCAAAGCCUUGCUUCUUCCCUCCCUCCAGUUGGGAAUGCAUGCUAGUGAAUUGCUGCCCCUACCAAAAUGGAGGACCAAGACCCCUUUUCCUGAAUGGCAACUGGAACACAGACCUUUCAGAACUACUUUUUCCAUGACGUCUGUUCAGAUGGUGGACUUCCAAGAACGGGAAACAAGCUGCCUUUGUGCCCGAACGACCGAGGAACUCGCUGCCAGCCCUCAGGCUUGAACUUUGUUCUGCAAAGAUAGCUGGCAUCUCGGNNNNNNNNNNNNNNNNNNNNNGCUCUUCCUCGACAGCGGAAAUAAAUUCUCCUGAAGGAAAGGGGCA